rnacentral:rRNA from 1 species
CCUACGGGAGACAGCAGUGGGGAAUAUUGCGCAAUGGGCGAAAGCCUGACGCAGCGACGCCGCGUGAGGGAUGAAGGUCUUCGGAUCGUAAACCUCUGUCAGCAGGGAAGAACGGUCACUGUGCUAAUCAGCAGUGAAUUGACGGUACCUGCAAAGGAAGCACCGGCUAACUCCGUGCCAGCAGCCGCGGUAAUACGGAGGGUGCGAGCGUUAAUCGGAAUUACUGGGCGUAAAGCGCUCGUAGGCGGUAUGGCAAGUCAAGGGUGAAAUCCCCGCGCUCAACGUGGGAACUGCCUUUGAAACUGGCAAACUGGAGUGUGUGAGAGGAUAGUGGAAUUCCAGGUGUAGGAGUGAAAGCCGUAGAUAUCUGGAGGAACAUCAGUGGCGAAGGCGACUAUCUGGCACAUAACUGACGCUGAGGAGCGAAAGCGUGGGUAGCAAACAGGAUUAGAUACCCUGGUAGUC